ACCGGACAGUGGGGGGGGAGGAGCCAGGCUGGGCCGGCCCCAAGGGGCGGGGCACCUACCACGUGACUGGUGGAUUCCGCAGCCAAUCGUAGUGGCCCCAGGGCUGGUGGCUGCCGGGGGCGGUGACGAGCUUCGGACUCCGCCCCGCCGCCACGGUCCAAUAGCCGCAGCCCAGGGCUGAAGGGGAGAGGCUGCUGCGGCGGGCAAGUUGGUUGUGGUAAGAGGGGCCGGGGACGUAGGUGAGGCUGCGGCGGGACCCGGGCGCCUCCUGAGGGAAGUAGCAGUUCCGGAAGGCUGAGAGUGGCCUGGAGCCGCUGUGAAUCUUUGUGCUGUGGAGAAAGAAACCCAACCGCAGCGCGGGCUGGGACGUGAUAGACAACGCCCACACUUGGCGCCUGCAGCAGGCGCGGAACUUUGGCGGCUUCAAAGCAUCCCCAGCAGUCGGGGGAAACCCACACCCAAAGAGGAUCUGCAAAACAGAGAUGUAUACCUUGAGAUAUACCUUGAGAUAUGGAGAAAAAAGGACUUUGACAGACUCAGAGGAAAUCAUACAACUUACAGCAACCAUUUGCAUCUCUUUACAGAAGAAAUAUACACAAUGCAUACUUCUGGGGGUUUUCCAUAUUGAUGGAAGUGUUUGGGAUACCUAAGUGAAUCCCAUUGAAGGGACUGCCUUCCCGGCCUGGCUGACAUCACCAGAAUGGCUGAACGUCUGUUUGGAGUGAGGGGCCCUGAGCUUUUCCAGCCUGUUUCUCCUCAUCAGUCUACAGGAAUAAACCCCCUGGGAUGGAGUCAGAGUUGCUGAUCCCAGUCUACCACUCUGCUCCUAUCGGUGCUGCCGCUGCUGCUGCUAGUGAGGAUGGAGAGUCCCACACCUAAUGCCGCUUUAUA